rnacentral:rRNA from 1 species
GAUGAACGCUGGCGGCGUGCCUAAUACAUGCAAGUCGAGCGAACAGACGAGGAGCUUGCUCCUCUGACGUUAGCGGCUGACGGGUGAGUAACACGUGGAUAACCUACCUAUAAGACUGGGAUAACUUCGGGAAACAGGAGCUAAUACCGGAUAAUAUAUUGAACGGCAUGGUUCAAUAGUGCAUGACGGUUUUGCUGUCACUUUGAGAUGAAUCCGCGCCGCAUUAGCUAGUUGGUAAGGUAACGGCUUACCAAGGCAACGAUGCGUAGCCGACCUGAGAGGGUGAUCAGCCACACUGGAACUGAGACACGGUCCAGACUCCUACGGGAGGCAGCAGUAGGGAAUAUUCGGCAAUGGGCGAAAGCCUGACGGAGCAACACCGCGUGAGUGAUGAAGGUCUUCGGGUCGUAAAGCUCUGUUAUUAGGAAAGAAAAGCUGUGUAAGAAUCUAUGCACGUCUUGACGGUACCUAAUCAGAAAGCCCCGGCUAACUACGUG